rnacentral:lncRNA from 1 species
GAAUGGAUAUCUUAGAGAAGAAAUAGGCUUGAAUUGAAUAGAAAAACAAUAGUACUUUGCAUUAAUUCAUGAGGAACAGCAGAGCUCCACACGUUAAUCUAUGGUGUGUAGAAACUCUACCGUUGAAAAUACAUAAGUGAUGAGGUCCAGGCAUGGCCGAAUAGCCAGCCUCCAAGGUCUAGGGACUAAACGUCCAAAGAUGUCUAAAGAUGAUUUCUAAUACAAUAGUAAAAGGUCCUAUUUAUACUAAACUAGAUACUAGGGUUUACAGAGAUAAGUAAAUGAUGCAGAAAUCCACUUCUAGGGCCCACUUGGUGUGUGCCUGGGCUGAGCAUUGAGCUUUCAUGUGUAGAGACUUGUUUUGGAGUUAAACGCCAGGUUGUAACCUGUUUCUGGCGUUUAAUUCCAGAAUAGGGCAGGAAGCUGGCGUUAAACGCCAGUUUGCGUCAUCUAAACUCGGGCAAGGUAUAGACUAUUAUAUAUUACUGGAAAGCCCUGGAUGUCUACUUUCCAACGAAAUUGAGAGCACGCCAUUUGGGCUCCUGUAGCUCCAGAAAAUCCACUUUGAAUGCAGGGAGGUCAGAAUCCAACAGCAUCUGCAGUCCUUCUUCAGCCUCUGAAUCAGAUUUUUGCUCAAGUCCCUCAAUUUCAGCCAGAAAGUACCUGAAAUCACAGAAAAACACACAAAAUCAUAGUAAAGUCUAGAAAUAUGAUUUUUAAUUAAAAACUAACAAAAAUAUACUAAAAACUAACUAAAUCAUACUAAAAACUUUGUAAAAACAAUGCCAAAAAGCGUAUAAAUUAUCCGCUCAUCAGCUGCCAACAUACUCAUAGCAUUGCGUCAUUGUUUUCAACCUUGACAGAUUACUGUAGAAAGGAUAAAUGAAAAAUAUAUUAGAUAAAGAUUGAUAAUAAAAACAAUCAUAAUUAUAUAUAGAUAAUGUUACAUCAUUGUUAUACUAUAUUUUAAAAAAGUAUACAUGUCAUUAGAGUUUAUACAAGCAAAUGCUAUCCUAAUUUACCAUUUGACAUGAUUCUUUUAAAUCUAAUCCAUCCCUAGUCUUUAUCAAUAACUAGUUUUGUUCUUUUCACAGACUUACACAUGACUGAUCAAGAACUAAGGGAGUUAACUCUAAUCGAUAUCGAGAACAUACUCAAAGGGUACAACAAAAGUUUGAGAGAUGUCCCUUCGAUGCCAUUCCCAGAUAUGGAUAUAUGUGCACAACAGUUGAUGAACGCUGGUGUAAAUAGGCUGAUUUGUGACGAGCUUCGGUACGAUAGGCGCAAAUUGACUGUAGAACAUGCAGAUUAUAUGCAGAAGCUGACAGAUGAACAAAAAAUAGUCUAUGAAAAGAUUAUGGUAGCUAUGAACAGUGGUGAAGGCGGGGUUUUCUUCGUAUAUGGUUACGGUGGUACAGGAAAGACUUUUGUUUGGAAAACAUUGGCUACGGGUAUCAGAUCCAAAGGUCAAAUUGUGUUGAUGGUUGCAUAAAGUGGGAUGGCAUCUUUAUUACUUCCGGGUGGUAGGACAGCACAUUCGCGAUUUGCAAUCCCCCUUAAUCUCGAUGAGUUCUCAACAUGUAAUAUAAAAUAGAAUAGCCCUUUGACUAAAUUGAUAAUAAGGGCUAAACUUAUUAUAUGGGACGAAGCUCCCAUGAUUAAUAGACUUUGCAUUGAAGCACUUGACAGGACAAUGCAAGAUAUUCUAAGAUUCAAGAAUGUUCACAGUCUCGACCAGCCUUUUGGAGGUAAGACAGUUGUUUUUGGUGGUGAUUUUCGACAAAUAUUACCUGUGAUACCAAAGAGUAGCAGACAAGACAUUGUUAAUGCAAUAAUCAAUUCCUCAUAUAUAUGGGAUAGUUGUAAGUUGUUGUCACUCACGAGAAACAUGCGUCUCCAAGUUGACAUGGAUGAGGAAAGAAACAAUGAGAUAAAAGAAUUUGUUGAAUGGAUUUUGGCCGUUGGAGAUGGCAGGUUUGGAACAUCCAUGGAUGAGAUUGACAAGAUAAAAAUUCCCGAAGAUAUUCUCAUCAAUGAUUGGGAUGAUCCUAUAGUCUCUAUAUGCAAAGCAACAUACCCUGAUUUGUUUUUGGGUGCAAAUUGUGUAUCCUAUGUCAAAGAAAGAGCCAUACUUGCACCCACACUCCAAAUGAUGGAUGAAAUAAAUAACUAUAUGAUGAGUUUGAACCCAGCAGAAGCUAAAACUUAUUAUAGUUCCGAUACUACAUGUCAAACAGAGGCGAACAAUGACAUUUUGACAUCAAUACAUACACCUGAGUUCCUCAAAACAAUCAGAUGCUCUAGAGUGCCUAACCAUGAACUAACACUAAAAGUUGGGACCCCAAUCAUGUUAUUGAGGAAGAUAGACCACUCGGCAGGUCUAUGCAAUGGGACACGGUUGGUUAUAACCAACCUUGGGAAGCAUAUCAUAGAGGCAAAAUCCUUAUCAGGGAAUGGUCUUGGGGAGAAGGUGUACAUUCCGAGGAUGACUCUAACUCCAUUUGAUAAUAGGAUACCAUUUAGAUUUCAAAGAAGACAAUUUUCUAUAAUGGUUUCCUAUGCCAUGUCAAUUAAUAAAAGCCAAGGACAAUCUUUGUCAAAUGUAGGGUUGAUACUAAAGAAACCUGUUUUCACACAUGGUCAACUAUAUGUUGCAGUUUCAAGGGUUACACAUAGGAGAGGUCUCAAGAUUUUGAUAUGUCAUAAUGAGCAUAAAACUACAGAAAUAGACAAUGUAGUCUACAAAAAAGUGUUUAGGAACUUGGCAUAAAGAAAGUUCAAAACAACAACAUAGGUACAUCAUUUAAAAAUUCAGUUAUAUUUUCUAAAUAUGAGAUUUGUUUUCCUGUUUCUUUUGUUCAAUCUCAGUAUAUUUUUUAAAAUUUAUUCCAAAAGUUAGAUAGUUGACUUACUCCUGAAGGUUGUUAUUUCUUAAUACAAUAUUAACCACAAGUCAAAACAGUAUAACUUAAAUAAUAUUUUUAAUCAUCAACAUCUUCACUGAUAUUGAUUUCUUAUUUUUUAUAGCUGAGACAAAUAAUGAGCAAGCUUCUGUGAGUGUGAUCAAGGGAUGGAGAUGACCAACAGGUGAUUAGAGUGAUGGAUUUAGAAUGGAGAUGGUCAAGUCACCUACAAGCUAUUUUGUAAGUUUAUUUAGAUACAAGAUAUUUUCAAUAAGAUUUCGAGGUAAUUUAAACAAAUUUACCAUUUAAAAUAUUUUGUUCAACCCCUUUUCAUGAGAGAUUUAGUUUAAAAAUAUAUCAAUUUGUAAACACCCAUCCUAUAAAAACCAUAAUGAUUCCGUUGCAUAGCUAAUAAGCUACUUUGGUACAUGUUAUAUAGAAUUUUUAUAACUUAGUUUGUUACCCAAAUUCAUUGUCAUAUUUAAACAAGACAACCAUCAUUACCUCACUUAAAACCUUGCCUGAGAGAUAUAUCGGAUUGAUGCCCAGAGUAGUCAACGUAUUUGGUAUCCAAUCAACCUAAUUAUUCAACAAAAAGUGACGUCCAUAUUAGAAGAAAAAGAUCUCACGGCAUAUUAUGGAAACCAUAUGUGAGUGUGGGUAAUACAUUAUAGGAUCGAAUGGACAAUUCUAAACACUUGAGAUUACAAAGCAUAUUAAAAUAGAUUCCACAAAUUUUCAUAUAACUUGAUAUAAUACGUGUCAAAAACAUUAGUUGAAAAGAAUGACUUUGUAUUUGAAUUUAUAAAUGUAAUUGUUAUAACAUUUUAUAAUGAGUGAUAAUUUAUUAAAAUACUUUUAAUAAUAAAUAUGAACGAGAAGGUAUAAAGAGAAGCUUAUAACUUUGAUAAUAUAGUUUACAAAAAAAUGUUUAGGAACGUGGCACAAAGAAAGCCCAAAACACCAACAUAGGUAAAUCAUUAAAAUAUUCAAUUAUAUUUUCUGAAUUUGAGUUUUGUUUCCUGUUUCCUGUUUCCUCUGUUCAGUCUAAGCAUUCUUUUAAAUAUAUUACAAUAUAUUUAAAAUAAUAUUAACCAUUCAAAAUCAAAACAAUAUAACUUCACUUAAAUCAUUAAUGGACAUUUUGACUGAUAUUCUUUUCUUAUCUCUUAUAGCUGAGACAAAUAAUGCUCAAGCUUCAACGAGUGUGACCGAGGGAUGGAGAGGACCAACAUGUAAUUAGAAUAGUGGAUUUGGAAUGGAGAGGGUCAAGCUACCUACAAGGUUUUUUUGUAAGUUUAUUUAUACUUAGUUGAUGAGAUUUAGAUACAACCUAUUCUGUAAGCUAUUUUCAACAAUAUUUCGAGAGAAUUUAAACGAAUUUAUCAUUCAAAAUAUUUCCUAAAGCCCCUUUUCAAGUGCGAUUUAGUUUAGCGUAAUAGGAAUAGCCGAAUUGAUGAUAAGGAAACUGAUACGUGUUUUCUUUAUUAGAAACUCAAUUAUGGACAAAAAACAACACAGAAUCGAGAUUCUCGCAAAAUAAAUGGCGAAACCCAACCCAAACCGCAUAGCACUUAUAAUCAUUUUACAGGUUGCUCACUUGAAACUGCAAAAUUACAACCAGCAAAGGCAUAUAAUUCCAUACCUAACACUGAUUAUAUUACCUAUAAGAAAAAUAUUAUCUAUUAUGAAAAUGAAAAAAACACCAAUCCAAGUUAAUGAUCAGACUAUUAUAGUAAAAAAAUUCCAUGAGAAUAUGCAAUUUAGUUUAUUCAAAGGUUUUCCCCGUACAUUAACAUAGAUCUAAUAAUUUUAGUUUUCAAGUUAAAUAAGAAAAAUAAUCUAUUGAACACAGAAAGUAACGCACCUUCUUUCCACCAUUUUCUUUAUUUGUUUAAGCUACUAAUUGAAAACACCUCUUGAUUUGAUCCAUUCAUCAAGCACUGAGUCAACUUUCCAUCACAAAUGACACUAUUAACUUUACAUUGAAAAAACAAAUUUUCUUAUUGUAAAGUCUAUUUAGUAAACAAAAACCAAAUUAGGAAUGAAUCAUAAUGUUGAGAGUUAAAACUCAAAUUGUAGAUCCAAUUGAAUAGAGCAGGACUUGAGACGGAAUUGUCGGUGAAGGGAGAUGCAGCCACUGUAGCAGAGGUUGGGGAAAAAAAUGAGGACUUAAUCACAAAAUUGAGAUUUCAUUACCUUACCUAAUCCAAUAAAUCUGCUCGAUCACUUCUUAUGUUCGUUUAUAUACUAAAACCAAAGUUAAUAAAUUAUGUUUAUCAAAGAUUGAGACUUACAAUUGGUUCUUGCAAAAUUUACUUUAUGACUUUGACGAUGAUCUAAUGCGCCACCGGCGAUCACCACGCACAUCUCAACCCUCGGUGUCUUCUGUCAUUCGAAGCCUUCUUCUGCUCGUCUAAAUGUGUGUGACUGUGUGUGCCUUUGAAUCGACAUAAAUUUUUCUUCUCCUUUGGAAUUUCAUGUUCUGAUUCGAUCAUUACCGGCUUGCUUUGGAACUGAUGUGAAGGCGCCAGCUGACCAACUGCUGCAGCGGCAGGCAUACCAAAAAAAAAAAAGGCAAAAAGCAAAGGAUACCUAAUUUCAGAAAUAAAAAAAGAAAAAUAGAGUAGAAGGGGAAAAGAUUUUUACCAGGGUUAUUGGUCAUCGGUAGUAGGUGGGCACUGAGUUUCAAUUCCAUUAAUGACAAAUAAGGUGUAGUAGUUGGAAUAUGUAUUAAUGGGUGUAUGUGGAUAUCUAUGUGCAUAUUUUUUUAUCAGUAAUUUAAAAAAAAAAUAUAUGGUAUUUGAUUUUAAAUUAAAUAAUAUUAAAAAAUGUGUGUUUCCAAUCAAUUAUAAAUAAAUAUAAAUAAAUUUUGUUUUAAUUCAGCAUAUAAUUAACUAGAUGCUAUCUAUAGUAUAUAAUAUUAUUUGGUGAUAAUGACAUUUAAUCAUGCAAC